AUAUUCUUGAGGUGAUUGAGGAUCACAUGGUGCCUAGAUUUAACUUCUUCAAGCUCUUCACUGUUGUUUUUCCCAGCUGGGAAAAGAGAUUUGAGUGCAGUAUCAAGGGUAGUUUUAUCUGGUUUACGGAUGAUUCUAAAACCACCACUGGUGCUAGGACAAAACAUUCUCGUUCCUUUGCAGCGAUUUACUACAAGGGAACGGGAAUGUCUUAUUUCUCUUCCCUCGGACGGUUUGCCAGUCUUUUAGGAAAAUUAUGCUAUUUCUGAUGUGUUAAAAUUAUUGAAAUAUCCCCUAUCAAGGUUAAACACAUUUAUAUCCUAUCUGAUAGCCAGGCG
rnacentral:lncRNA from 1 species